GACGAACGCUGGUGGCGUGCCUAACACAUGCAAGUCGAGCGAAGUGAGUACUACGGUACGAACUUAGCGGCGGACGGGUGAGUAACGCGUGGACAAUCUACCCUGUAGACUGGGAUAACACCUCGAAAGGGGUGCUAAUACCGGAUAAUGUCGAGAAGCGGCAUCGCUUUUCGAAGAAAGGAGAGAAUCCGCUAUAGGAGGAGUCCGCGUCCCAUUAGCUAGUUGGUGAGGGUAACGGCCCACCAAGGCGUCGAUGGGUAGCCGGCCUGAGAGGGUGAACGGCCACACUGGAACUGAGACACGGUCCAGACUCCUACGGGAGGCAGCAGUGGGGAAUAUUGUGCAAUGGGGGAAACCCUGACACAGCAACGCCGCGUGAGCGAAGAAGGCCUUCGGGUUGUAAAGCUCAAUAGUAUGGGAAGAUAAUGACGGUACCAUACGAAAGCCCCGGCUAACUACGUGCCAGCCGCCGCAGUAAAAC
rnacentral:rRNA from 1 species